rnacentral:rRNA from 1 species
GUAGGGUGGCAAGCGUUGUCCGGAAUUAUUGGGCGUAAAGCGCGCGCAGGCGGUCCUUUAAGUCUGAUGUGAAAGCCCGCGGCUCAACCGUGGAGGGUCAUUGGAAACUGGGGGACUUGAGUACAGAAGAGGAAAGCGGAAUUCCAAGUGUAGCGGUGAAAUGCGUAGAGAUUUGGAGGAACACCAGUGGCGAAGGCGGCUUUCUGGUCUGUAACUGACGCUGAGGCGCGAAAGCGUGGGGAGCAAACAGGAUUAGAUACCCUGGUAGUCCACGCCGUAAACGAUGAGUGCUAAGUGUUAGGGGGUUUCCGCCCCUUAGUGCUGCAGCUAACGCAUUAAGCACUCCGCCUGGGGAGUACGGCCGCAAGGCUG